rnacentral:rRNA from 1 species
GGAAGCGAUCAUACCAGCACUAAAGCACCGGAUCCCAUCAGAACUCCGAAGCUAAGCGUGCUUGGGCGAGAGUAGUACUAGGAUGGGUGACCUCUUGGGAAGUCCUCGUGUUGCAUUCC